GGUUCGAUGGUGUAGUUGGUUAUCACGUUCGCCUCACACGUCUGUCACGUGACCGUGCGCGAAAGGUCCCGAGUUCGAGCCUCGGUUGAAUCA